rnacentral:rRNA from 1 species
GACGAACGCUGGCGGCGUGCCUAAUACAUGCAAGUAGAACGCUGAAGAGAGGAGCUUGCUCUUCUUGGAUGAGUUGCGAACGGGUGAGUAACGCGUAGGUAACCUGCCUGGUAGCGGGGGAUAACUAUUGGAAACGAUAGCUAAUACCGCAUAAUAUUGACUAUUGCAUGAUAGUUGAUUAAAAGGUGCAAUUGCACCACUACCAGAUGGACCUGCGUUGUAUUAGCUAGUUGGUGGGGUAACGGCUCACCAAGGCGACGAUACAUAGCCGACCUGAGAGGGUGAUCGGCCACACUGGGACUGAGACACGGCCCAGACUCCUACGGGAGGCAGCAGUAGGGAAUCUUCGGCAAUGGACGGAAGUCUGACCGAGCAACGCCGCGUGAGUGAAGAAGGUUUUCGGAUCGUAAAGCUCUGUUGUAAGAGAAGAACGAGUGUGAGAGUGGAAAGUUCACACUGUGACUGGUAUCUACCAAAA